CUCUUUUUAAACUCUCUCUCUCUCAAGGUCCGCCUUCCCCUCCUCUGGGUCCCCACUCCCUCCUCCCCCUUCUUCUCCAGCAGGGGCACACACAGCCAAGGGCUAGAAGAUUGCCUUCAAAAUUUGGAGACCACCCUCAUUUGUCUCUUCCGGAGGAAAGUGGCUACAAGGCAUACAGGGAGAGGCACUAUUAGGAGGUGUGGCCUUGUUGGAGGAAGUGUGGCACUUUCAAGAUCUUCAUCCUAGCUGCCUGGAAGCCAGUCUUCUCCUAUUUGCCUUCAGAACAAGAUGUUGAACUCUCAGAUCCUCUAGCGCCAUGCCUGCUUGGGUGCUGCCAUGCUCUGACCUUGAUGAUAAUGGACUGAACCUCUGAACCUAAAAGCUGGAAGAAGCUGAGGAGGAGGGUGGACCUAUACGAAGACCAGCAGUCUCAAGUAACCUGGACCUCAGGACCUCUCAGACACUGAGCCACCAACCAGGCAGCACACACCAGCUGAUAUGAGGCCCCCAACACAUAUACAGCAGAGGACUGCUGGGUCUGGACUCAGUCAGAGAAGAUGCACCUAACUCUUGAGAGACUUGAGGCCCCAGGGAGUGGAAGGUGUGGUGGGGGUGGAGAUGGGAGCAUCCUCUUGGAGAUGAGGGUUGGGGGGAGAGGAGAUAUGGGAUGUGGAACAGUCAGAGGGUGGACCGGGAUGGGGAUAAAGUCUGAACUAUAAAAGUUUAUAUAAUAAUAAUAGUAAUAAUGAUAAAAAGCA
rnacentral:lncRNA from 1 species